rnacentral:lncRNA from 1 species
UUAUAACGACACUUAUAUAAGUCAUAAUAUUAGCUAAAAUAUUUAUUAUAAGUUCAUAAUAACAAUACUAAUUUUAUAUAUAAACUAUAUUUAAAAUAGGGUAAGCAUAACUAACUUACAAGGGGAUUUUAGCUAGGAGUCGGGCUCUGCAGGGGUAGAACUUCGUCGCUGAAUCUUUCUAAGAAAGAUUCGUGCAGCGCUUCAGCGCUCACCUUACUAUACUAAAACUACAGAAAGAGAAGUCGAAUCACGAGGGACCGAAAUGCUCGGGGGAUAAGGAGAGAAAGACUCUUGAAUCAAGAGAAUGGUGCAAGAAAUAUGAGAGCCCAAGGCUCUUAUUUAUACUAAUUGAAUUUUCAAAAACUACCCUCCAUAAUUACUUAAUGACCUUUUAGUUAUAUAAACAACUAAACACCCCUCUAUAAUACUAUUAUAAAUGGAUUUAACGAUAUUUGUACUAAACUAAUGUCGAAAGAACUCAACAUUAGUCUUAUAAUGACCGCAUCGUCGAUACCUUUCUAAUGAUAUAUACAUAUGUAUAUAUAUGUGUACGUAUAUAUGAUUUAUACUUUAUUUUAAUACGUAAAUAUGCUAUUAUAAUUUGUAACUCGUUCAUACAAACUCCGUUUUUGACGUUCUUUAUAUCCACGCGUAGGUGGAGACGUACUCUACAUCUUUUGUUUAGACUCUGUUGGCUAAUUUUGACUUUAUUUUUAAAGUUAUAUUUUUAACAGGCCGAGACAGGAUUGGUCCGUUAAAAUCUCAUAACUUCUUCAUCCGAUGUCGAUUUUCGUCUGUCUUUUUAUUAUUACGCUACUAAUAACGAGAUCUUCGAUUCUCGUUUAGGUUGUGUCGGCUAAAAACCACUCGAUCUAAUACUUGAACUGCGAGUAGUACACCGCUAAGCCGAAACUUCAAAAAAUCAUAACUUCCUCAUACGAAGUCAGAUUUGGGUGUUCUUUUUAUGGAUGCUCUCAGGUUAACAUAUUCUACGACUUUCAUUUAGAUUACUAAGACUAAAAGUCGCUCUAUCAUAAAUUCACUAUUUACGUCUUCGUGGUGUCGUGCCGGUUCUGUCGCUAAACUUCGACGGGUCAUAACUUCUUCGUUAUAACUCGGAUUUCGGCGCUCUUUAUAUGUACGGAACCCUUGAGAAAUAUUCUACAACUUGGUUAAGACUAUUUAUUCUAAAUAUUAUUUUGUCGAAAAUUCGUUUUCGACCCCUAUUAUUUUUAAAUUGUCUAGCCCGGAUCUACGUGCGUUACAAUUAUCUCCCCGUUAGGAUUAUUACGUCUCGGAAUCAUUAACGAAACAUGACUCACAUGAUGACUCCAUACGUUAUCUCUUCAUCCUAAGUAAUAACCGUAACUUUCAUGUUUCUUUGGACGAGUAUCUAACUCUAAGAGGCGAUGCUCGAUCUUGCACUUACUCUUUAUCUCACGUUAGACUCCAAAUUAUGACCUUCAAGUCACAAUAUCGAUCCUCACUGGAUAUGAACUUAAGAUAAGUUCUUUUAUUACUAUCAUGGACUGAUGUGCCAUAUUCUAAUGACCUCUCAUCGUAUGUUGCAACGCUCAGACUCAGGUCUGUUAGAGUCAAAUUCCAAAACAGACUAUACCUUCCUUCAUGUUCUAACCACAUCUUAAAAGGUAGCAUUUCUAGCUACAAGCAACUUUUCGCGAUACCUCUACUGAUCGCUUUUUAUUUCAAUCUUCCAUCUUAAGUCAGAUGUUACAUUGAACUUGAUUCUCUGAACCACAUAACAUACUCAACGUUGUUGGACUCAAUUUGAUAUGACCACUAGGGUCGGAAUAACAAUAAUCUUCUUAGUCAUUACCGAAACGAUGAUAACAACAUACUUGAAUAGAAUGAAAUCAAUUACUAGCUUUUUGGCAACCUUGUGACUUUCCCUGAUCCAAGCGCGAGUCUUGUGCUUCCGGUAGUAUAUGCAUCUACUACCUUUCACACCUACUCAUACUCGUCCCAAGUAUUGUCUCGUAGUUUUUCAAGUCCUAAAAUCACAAAACAAUUUUAACACAUACAAAUGUGUCCAAACAAUCAUAUAAUUUUUCCUAGACUCUACUAGGACUUCUUCCUUGCGUAUCUUCAAUCGUAAAUUCUGCUUCGACUCGGUUGGUGGUGGCAACGCCAUACGGACAACUUCAGGAAUUACACCAAUCAUUCCAUCAUCCCACUAAUCGAAGGUGUACUUCAGACAUACCAUACUCCUCUGAAUGUACUGUUAUCUUAUCAUACACAUUCUAAAGGCAAUAUACCACUCUUAUGAUAUCUUCUGAUAUGUGUCAUUCACUAACAUAAGCCUUUUCAUUUCCUCCAUUUACUCGAUUCUCUACAAGUCUUCACCAUGAUGCUUUGCUUAUGAAAGUAUGCGUUCAAUGCAUCAAGACGAGAAAAUAGAUAGAGAAGAUUUAGACGUGUAAUCCUCCUUAUUACUUUGAAAAAUUACAUAUCAGUUCUAAUAUCGUAAUUAAACGUUUAGAAACCUGAGCACAUAAAAUUUCCAGAUCCGGUCGGCAACAAACCAUAGAUCCAAACAAAUAAUAGCAUAUAAGGCAUCUUUAUAGCUAUAACAUAAAGCAUUUAGCACAUCAAACAUUUUAGGCAUCUUUCCUAAAACAAACUAGUGCUCGUGUCUAAAAUAUAGCAGACACUCAUCUCACAAUCAUCGCUUAGCAUUCUAAGCUUAAGUCUAGAAAUAAAUCCUUAUUCCUAGUUCGCUUAAACUAAUGCUCUGAUACCAACUGUGACAUCCCUAUUUUCACGGCCAGAAAAGACCGAUUUUGUUUAUGCUUUAUUAAAAUCAGAGUACCUCUUUUAAUAAAAAUGUUGCGGAAUUUGUUCCCAGUAAAACAUGAUAAAUACGUUAUCAAAGCAUUUCCGAAGAAAAGUAUUUUUAUUCAUUUUAAAACAUUUGGGAUGUCAUCGUCAAUACAGAAACAUAAGCAUAAACAGAACUUACAUUCAUUAUCACUAGUGGUUUAUAUCUCCUUUAUCUCUCAGUGUAAUGUGACUUCAUAACAACACCCGUGAUAUAAAUAAACUGAGUGGGUCAGGUUGGGAAACCUGGUGAGUACAUAGGGGUUUCCACCCACAAUAAUAUAAUUAUUAUGUUUAAACAAUUAAGCAAUCAACCCGAUUACCCAUCCCUAUUAUCUUCUUUAUUCUUAAGGAUCUACCCUAAGAAUAAGCUAUUCCUCGUUCAUUUAUACCUAAGGAUCAUCCUAAGGAAUCGGCACGAAGUCCAUCAUUGCCACGGUUUACACAACAGACACUAAGUCUGCAUAGUCGCCAAGGGUUAGGCAUCAAGUCUGCAUUAUCACCAAGGUUUACACAACGGGCACUAAGUCUACAUAGUCGCCAGGGUUUAGGCAUAAAGUCUGCAUGAUCGCCAAUGCUUAGGCACCAAGUCUGCAUGGUCGCCAAGGUUUAGAGUACACCGGUUGAACACAUCGUUCACAACACCUACAGGUUGUGAGCCUGCUAGUGUUCCACUGGAUUGUCUAGAAUAAUCCGUGGUUGUCAUCCAUACUCUGCUGAAUGACGGGGCCAUCGUUUGGGAAAAGGCUUCUCACAUCGUCCACCUCUCACCCUCACCUCGUGGUCUAUAACACCUUUCAACUCAUCAUCAAACUCAUAUUCCAUCUAUUACAUCUAUCCAUGUUUUACCUCAACAUUAUCGUAGAUAUAAAAUACAUAUACAGUUUAAAUCAUUUAAAACAUGUAUAAAAUCAUUCAUCCAGCAUAGACAACAAGUAUUCAUAUAAUAUGCACACAUAGCACGUAAUUUAUAUAAAAUAUUUCAUAUCUAUGUGUAAGAUGAAAGUAACUAUGCACUCACCUUAGAAGGUGGUGACUCGGUACUCGGACAGCGCUUCGUUUACUUUAAAAUAAUUUCCUUCGACGAAACCUAGUAUUAUCACCACUAGAUUUUAGUCUAAUAUUUACCGUGACUAAUUAUUAGUCUUAUUAUUAUUAUUAUUAUUAUNNNNAUGCACUCACUUGAGAAGGUGGUGACUCGGUACUCGGACAGCGCUUCGUUUACUUUAAAAUAAUUUCCUUCGACGAAACCUAGUAUUAUUACCACUAGAUUUUAGUCUAAUAUUUACCGUGACUAAUUAUUAGUCUUAUUAUUAUUAUUAUAUAAGCGUUUAAACAAUACUUUCCAACCACUAUGUACAGACAGGGGCCAGACAUAAAACACCGGAGGGCAGGACCAUUUUGGCAUAUAGCACUUCUGAAAUCCAACAACCCUAUGCGGCCCUUUAAACCAGAUUCCCCGUACCGCGAGUAGUUAAAAAGAUAUUAUAACGACACUUAUAUAAGUCAUAAUAAUAGCUAAAAUAUUUAUUAUAAGUUUAUAAUAACAAUACUAAUUUUAAAUAUAAACUAUAUUUAAAAUAGGGUAAGCAUAACUUACUUACAAGGGGAUUUUAGCUAGGAGUCGGGCUCUACAGGGGCAGAACUUCGUCGCUGAAUCUUUCUAAGAAAGAUUCGUGUAGCGCUUCAGCGCUCACCUUAAUAUACUAAAAACUACAGAAAGAGAAGUCGAAUCACGAGGGA